CAUUUCCUGGGGUAUGCGUUAAAGUCUUCAUAAUUGAACCUACACAUACUUAAAGGGAUCCCGAUGCGGAAGCGUUAUGUAAAGCCGCUCAGAGCGGACUACAGAGGCCAGGCUCAGGGAGUACCCACCUUAUCGUAAACGAUAGGGCGUCAAUUAAAGGCUUAAACGGUAUUCCGGGUUUUUU
rnacentral:other from 1 species